GGCAAACGACCUCAUUUACCUACUGAAAUUAAGGGUAAAUAAACUUAAUUAAAGAAAUUUUUUACUAUUAUCAAGAUAUUUUUUCAGUGCAGCUGAUAUCACUCCAUAAAGGAGGCUUGAUGAAGCUGAUUUAGAACAGGACCUAAAACAAAUAACAAUAUAAACUCAAACUGGUUAUGGAAACAUGGAAAGCAUGUUUGUAGAAUUUUUUCUUUCUAUACAGAUAAAAAAACAUUUUAUUUUCCACUUGAUCUCACAUUAGAUCCUCUAUAAGACACAGAUCAUUUAAAUGCAUGGAGGAAAUGAUCUAAAACCUUGAUUCAGAGAUGUAGAUGUGUCUUAGAGUAGUUUUAACUUAUGAAUAAAUCAUUUCUGACAUGUCUGAUGUGUUUUCUUCUCACCGUCUGCUCCGCGGAGCUCCGGGGGCCGCCGGCUCUCCGCCUGCCGCGCCGCCCUCAGCUCUCCAUGCAGGACCUCCAUGCUGCUCUUCAGCCUCUCGAUCUCAUCCUCCCGCUGACACAUCUCCAGCCGCAGCACCACCAUCCCGUCCUCCACCACUUUGGAGAUCUCCGCCACGGCUGCUUUGGCCAGAGCAUCGAUCACGGAGGCGAUCUGGGAGCGCAGAGCCACGCCGUUCAGCAUAAUGAACGGAAUCCCUGAAAAAAUGGGGCUAAACUUUACAAAAAAGAGAAAAGAGAGGAAGAAGCGGCUGGAUUCAGGUCUCCUGCUUGCAGCCAGCUUUUAAGCUAGCAACAGUUACUUGGUGCCAUCAGAGGACAUAAACAACGCGAGCUCUUGCUUUACGGAAGUGAUGACAACAAGAAUACCGUAAAGUGUAGAAGAAAGACGCAACUCUUUUAAGGUGGAUAACCUGGUGGAUUUUGAGGUUUCCCAGCACAGUGAAGCUCUUGCCGCACUGCCUGCAGCUGAACGGCUUCAGCCCGCUGUGGAAGCGCUCGUGCCUCAUGCAGUUAUCCUGCCUGGAGAACCUCUUGCCGCAGAUGCUGCAGCUGAACGGCCUCUCUCCCGUGUGGACCCUCUGGUGCGUCUUUAGCCGGGUCUUCUGGGUGAAAGACUUCCCACAUUCAAGGCACCUGAAAGGUUUGGAGGACUGGUGGCUGCUCUUGUGCUCCUCCAGCUGAGACAGGCGAAGGAAACCCUUGUUGCAAACUGAGCAGAUGUAGACGCUCUGAUUUGCUCUCCACGCAGUCAUUAAUCUUUUUGGUCUGCCGUUGAUUUUGUUGUUAAUAUUUUCUUCAUUUGCUUCUGAUGCUCCUGCUGUGGACUCCUGGGCAUGAGGCAAAGCUGCUGACGGUCCUGCAGACUCCAUACAACCCCCCUGGAUGACGCCACCAUGCAAAGUGUCUGUGUAACCAGACUCAGGAAGCGCAGAGAUCUCUGCUUUUAUGGGCAGCGUAAAGCAGUCGUCUGCUCCUUCGGUUGCCGAGGAUGGAUAUGAACUCUGCACGUCUCUGGAGGAAGGAUACUCUUCGACAUUAGAGGGAAAAAUCUGCUGCUGGAGGGCGACAGAGCUGUUCUCAAACACAUCACAGACGGGCCAGAUGGGGUCGCCUCCGUUUGCUGCGUCUCUCGCUGCGUGCUCGGCUGUUUCAUCGAAGUGAAGCUCAACUUCUUGUUUCACAGCUGGACUGAUGUGAGGCUCACAAAGGGAAGCAGCAGGUUGUUCUUCA